rnacentral:rRNA from 1 species
UGCUUUUUGGUAGAAUAGAAGGUAGGACCUGCUCAAUGAAUAUAAAUAGCUGCAGAUUCUGUACUAAGGUAGCAUAAUCAUUUGAUAUUUAAUUGAUAUCUAGAAUGAAGGGUUGUAUGAGUUUAUUUUUUUCUUUUUAUAAUAGGUUAAAGUUAAAUUGUUGGUAAGAAGGCCAAUAUAAUAUUUAGGGACGAGAAGACCCUAUAAAGCUUGAAAUCUUAUAAAUUUGGAGAGAAGAAGAUUUUGAUUGGGGCAAUCAAUUAAGAAAUUAAUUUUAAUUUAGAGCCAAAAAUUUUGAGUGAAAGAAAAGUUACUUUAGGGAUAACAGCAUAAUAAAUAAAAAGAAGUACUUAUUUUUUUUAUUGUUUGUGACCUCGAUGUUGAAUUAAGAAACCUCCAAGGAGAAGAAGCUUUGAAAGGCAGUCUGUUCGACUGAAAAUUUCUUACG